rnacentral:rRNA from 1 species
GAUGAACGCUGGCGGCGUGCCUAAUACAUGCAAGUCGAGCGAACAGAUGAGGAGCUUGCUCCUCUGACGUUAGCGGCGGACGGGUGAGUAACACGUGGAUAACCUACCUAUAAGACUGGGAUAACUUCGGGAAACCGGAGCUAAUACCGGAUAAUAUAUUGAACCGCAUGGUUCAAUAGUGAAAGACGGUUUUGCUGUCACUUAUAGAUGGAUCCGCGCCGCAUUAGCUAGUUGGUAAGGUAACGGCUUACCAAGGCAACGAUGCGUAGCCGACCUGAGAGGGUGAACGGCCACACUGGAACUGAGACAAGGUCCAGAAUCCUAAGGGAGGCAGCAGUAGGGAAUCUUCCGCAAUGGGCGAAAGCCUGACGGAGCAACGCCGCGUGAGUGAAGAAGGUCUUCGGAUCGUAAAACUCUGUUAUUAGGGAAGAACAAAUGUGUAAGUAACUAUGCACGUCUUGACGGUACCUAAACAAAAAGCCACGGCUAAAUACGUG